ACUUACUGCUUCGUUUCUCAUGGACCGACACGCUGCCCUCAACCUGUGAGCAAGCCCGGAGUAUUCAGGUGUUCCUGUGGGGAGUUUCCUGUGACCUUAAUGGAGGUUGAAGUGUUGUCGUGGGAACUAAUGGGCAGAAGUUAUUCACUGCCUCACUUCCGGCUGGUGGACAGCAACUCGGUACAUGUUCCAGCUCUGCAUGGGAGACUCCAUGCUAAGGCUCUUGUAGUCAUAUUUAAAGAUCUUUUUGGUGGAGUCUCCUAUGCAGAGCUCGGCUUGGACGAGAACAAGAACCCCACCGGCUCUGCACAGGUCUUUUUGAUGACAAAAAUGGCUACCUAAAGGCCCUCUGUGCAGAGUCUGUGGUGGUAAAGACGACCAAGUUCUCCAGGAAGAUCUCCCUGAAUUAAUGCUGCCAUUCAACGGCUGAAGCUCUGAGGAACCACGACGUUCCUAUGAUGAGAAAUUCCAGUUAAUUACUUAUUUACUUAAUUUACUUUAUUUAUUUUAAGUUAUCCUAAUAAAAUACGUUUGGUUUGAGUUGUA